GAGGCAGAGGCAGAGAUAGGGCGGAGGCAGGCAGAUUUCUUUGAGUUUGAGACCAGCCAGGACUAUAGAGUAAGACCUCUCAAGCAAAAACAAGCGGCAUGGGGAGGUUUAUUGCUGGCAGCAAACUAGGAGCAAACUGGGGACCAUUCAAAGCAGUGUCUCCCUAGACAUUCUGGCUCUCUGGCUUUUCUCUUUUCUUUUGGUGCUAGGACAGAAGAGACUUCUGUGUGUAGGGCUCUCCCUGCAGCUGAGUCUCCCUGCCCUCCCGUGCUUUCUGAUUCUGACAGGAUGAUGUAGAUGACUCAAAGGGGAUGAGGAACUCGGCUGGAAUCCACUUGCUCACUCCCAGCUCCAGAGAGAAGGAAGGAUUCCCUAGCACCCUAAGCUGAGGGUUCGUCCCUUCCUCCUGUGGUCCCAUUCCCAAGAGUCCCAUCUCCUGGCUCACAGAGCAACUCCCCUUUGAAAAGUCCUACCCCAUCCAAACCAUUUCUCCUCUCUUAUGCUCACCCUGCUAGCCUGGGCCAAUUUCCAAGCAGCAAAAGCCAUGUCUUGAGGGGUGGGGAUUCCUGGAAAAAGUAACUUGGAUGGUUUUGCGUCUGAGUUUCCAUAUUCCCAAACGCAUUCAAUGUACUUGAUGGUUCCUGGGCUUAUCGCUUCCUGGAAACCACUGGUCAAGUGUGCUCCCACCACUGCUUUUACUCUGAAACACACCUCCAGGAGGAGGGGACAGCUGAAGUCUGCAGCUGGGGAUAAUAAAAGCUCAGUAGAUUGGCACAACCA
ensembl:antisense Lrrc75aos1 leucine rich repeat containing 75A, opposite strand 1